rnacentral:rRNA from 1 species
CAGUCGCCGCGGGAAUACAGAGGGUGCGAGCGUUAAUCGGAUUUACUGGGCGUAAAGCGUGCGUAGGCGGCUUCUUAAGUCGGAUGUGAAAUCCCUGAGCUUAACUUAGGAAUUGCAUUCGAUACUGGGAAGCUAGAGUAUGGGAGAGGAUGGUAGAAUUCCAGGUGUAGCGGUGAAAUGCGUAGAGAUUUGGAGGAAUACCGAUGGCGAAGGCAGCCAUCUGGCCUAAUACUGACGCUGAGGUACGAAAGCGUGGGGAGCAAACAGGAUUAGAUACCCGAGUAGUCCCUGUCUCUUAUAA